GGGGAUUUAGCUCAAUGGUAGAGCACUUGCCUAGGAAGCGCAAGGCCCUGGGUUCGGUCCCCAGCUCCA
rnacentral:tRNA from 1 species